rnacentral:sRNA from 1 species
GACGUCGUUCGCCCCUGCUAAGUCCUUGGCGUUCGGUUCAUCAUCAUCUCUCCCAGAAGAGUCUCCUGAGAAAAGUGGCAACCCUUCUUGUAUCUAAAGUUUUUCUUAGACACCCAGAAGAUUACUAAUUAGGAGAAACUUAGCUUUGCAGAAAUACCUGGCCUUUCCUUAGCUCUUGCUGCUUGCAAUUUAAAUUUGCCCUCAAAGCAGGGAGCUCCUAGAUGUUCGAGUUCUUUUUUCAACCAUGCCACAGCUGUGUGGUUUUGUUGUGGUGAGAAGACUAAGGCACUGAAGUAUUUUUUAAAUGAAAGGAUUUUCACUGAUGAAAUGUUGAAAAUGGGACUGCAGCUAGAAGGCUGUCUUGAAUUGAGGCUGGAAUACAGAUUUCUGCAUGUCCGUCACUCUGGGAGA